rnacentral:rRNA from 1 species
GACGAACGCUGGCGGCGUGCUUAACACAUGCAAGUCGAACGGAAAGGCCCUGCUUUUGUGGGGUGCUCGAUUGGCGAACGGGUGAGUAACACGUGAGUAACCUGCCCUUGACUUUGGGAUAACUUCAGGAAACUGGGGCUAAUACCGGAUAGGAGCUCCUGCUGCAUGGUGGGGGUUGGAAAGUUUCGGCGGUUGGGGAUGGUCUCGCGGCUUAUCAGCUUGAUGGUGGGGUAGUUGCUUACCAAGGCUUUGACGGGUAGCCGGCCUGAGAGGGUGAACGGCCACAUUGGGACUGAGAUACGGACCAGACUGCUACGGGCGGCAGCAGUGGGGAAUAUUGCACAAUGGGCGGAAGCCUGAUGCAGCAACGCCGCGUGCGGGAUGACGGCCUUCGGGUUGUAAACCGCUUUCGCCUGUGACGAAGCGUGAGUGACGGUAAUGGGUAAAGAAGCACCGGCUAACUACGUG